GUAAUCAGCUGAUCCAGUCGGUAUCCAGACCAGACGCGGACCUGCACCCAGGAACAACCACAACACAUCCCUGACUGUCAGCGGAGACCAUGUCAGCUAGAUGACAGAUCCUCUGUGAAGACCUCAUUGAUGGCCCCAGCACAGAUCCUCAGCAAAGACUACGAGAACCAGACAAGCCCUCUGCACAGACCCUUUUUACCAGCUUCACUUGCUGGCGUGAUGUUUCUUCAAGCAGAAGAAGUUGGAUGAAAUAUUCUGAAUGAUAUCAAUCCACAAUCUGACUUUUGAUGCAGACUGGAAUGGUUCAUUCGUUUGGCCAGAGGAGAACUGGUUUCCUUACUGAGCCUGGUCUUGUUUGGCUUCCUUGUCACUGUUGCCUUUUGUCUUGUAAAUUUAUUAAUUGUUUUGAAUGAAAAGGUAAAACGUGUCCUGUCCCAGGCUGAGAACAUAGAGAUGGCACACCUGCUUAACAAGAUUCUAAUGUCUCACUUACAGGAACAUGAAGAUGGACUGGUUUUGCAUGCGUUGCUGCAUCUGAUGCUGAGAAGACACUCAAUCUACAUGCCAGUCCUUGUUUGAUGGGUAUGGCAGAGCCGCCAAAUGCUGUACGGUGUGUCCAGUCAACAUUUUUGAUUGCAGUUGCAACAGUGUUUUCUGUUUACUACAUCUUCAACCUGCAGUAUCAAGAGGAGGCUUGUUGCACGUUAGAAUUUCUUCAACGGUAAGU